GAAACGCAGAGAAGAAAGAAGAGUGUUCGUUGAAGAAGGCGAUGCUAUCUAUGAAGGCUUCGAAAUGGUAGCAAUACAUCAAUUAAUUUCAGGACGCCCAGGGCCCUCCUCAGCAGCCUGUUUUGAAAGCAAUUUCAGGUUUCUACCUUAUCCUCAUGCUAGGCUUCGGAAAUGUAAGCAAUGAAUCAAUUAAUUUCAGGUAUCACCUCUUCUUAUACACAACUCUGUAUAUUUCCUUGGGUGAGCUUCUAACUGUUCAUGCUCAUGUUUCUAUUUCACAACGAUUGUUCAUCUACGCCGCAUAAUUUAUUACUUGUUCGUUCGAUAUUUAGUUCCUUUUAAUGUUAAUUUAAGUGCAGACACACUAUAUCCACACCUCAUCACUGUUGCUGCUGGUUUGGAGUGCAUCCAUCCAACUUCCGGUGGUUCUUGUGUUUAUGAUCCUUGAGCUUGUUUCAGCUGGGAAGGCCCAAGAAGAACAGGAAACAAAGUUCCGACUAGACUAUACAACCUUAGAAGAAUGCAGGCAGUAUCCUCAUGAGAUCGCUUAAAAUGCCCAUGGCUAUUGAUUAGUUCAUCCAGUUAAAUGUUUGGUCUACUCCGCAUACGCUCAUGCAAGUAUAGCUUCUUGGAAAGGCAGCUCAAAUGUCGAUUUAAUGAAGUCACGAAAAGCAAAUGAGGAGAUAAAAAAGAAGGAAGUCAGAUUUAAUGAAGUCGGCAAAUGAGGAGAUGAAAAAGGAAGUUUCAACUCCCAUGGAGGUCGUGAUUGACAGAAACGAAGCAAAUGAGGGGAUGAAAAAGAAUGAAGUUUCAACUUGCAUGGGGUCGUGGUUGACAGGUUCUUGUUAAUUAUUGUUUGGCUAAAAAAACGACAGAUUAAAUGAAGUCAGUAAAGGGAGCAAAUGAGGAGAUGAAAAAGAAGGAAGUUUGAAGGAAGGGGUUGACAGAUUUAAUGAAGUCAGUGAAGGGGCUGAGGAGAUGAAAAAGAAGGAAGUUUUAACUUCUAUGGAGUCCUUAGUUGACAGAUUUAAUGAAGUCAGGGAAUGGGCAAACGAGGAGAUGAGAAAGAAGGAAGUUUCAACUCCUAUGAGUCUCUGGUUGACAGUCAAUGAAGGGGCGAACGAGGAGAUGAAAAAGAAGAAAGUUUCAACUCCUAUGGAGUCCGUGGUUGACAGUCAAUGAAGGGGCGAACGAGGAGAUGAAAAAGAAGAAAGUUUCAACUCCUAUGGAGUCCGUGGUUGACAGAUUUAAUGAAAUCGAAGGGGCAAAGGAGGAGAUGAAAAAGAAGGAAGUUUCAACUUGUAUGGAGUCCGUAGUUGAUAGAUUUAAUGAAUUUAGUGAGGGACAAACGAGGAGAUGAAAAAGAAGGAAGUUUCAACUCGUAUGGAGUCCGUGGUUGACAGAUUAAAAGGGCAAAUGAGGAGAUGAAAAAGAAGGAACUUUCCACUCCCAUGGAGUCCGUGGUUGACAGGUAGUUAUGCACGUUCUUUUCUAUUUAUUCUUUUAUUUUUAUUUUUGUGCAUGUUAUUUGCAUGGUUGAUCUUUAACUGACUUUUUCAAAAAAAUAUUUUAUUUAUUCUUUUCUUUUUAUUCUUGUGCAUGUUACAUGGUUGAUUUUCCCGUGACUUUUCUUCGUGAGUUAUUUUGUUAUUGUGGUUUUUUUUUAUUUGUAUUUUAAUCUUAAAUUUGUGAGUGCUUUGAAUUUUUGUGCAUGUUACUUGCAUUGUUUGUUUUGUUUAGUAUUUAAAUUGGGUGUAUUUGAUUUCUUUUUUUUGUUUUUGUCUUUUGUGUUAUACAUUUCAUGUUUUAUCGAUGGUAUUUCCUUCGUUUGUGUUCUCUUUGAUUUAUAAUAUUUAUUAGUGUGGUUUGAUUUAAUAUUUGUGUUUUGAUCCUAAAUUUUUGUAAUUAUUUGUUUGAGCUUUGAUGUUUAAAUAUGUGUUUUAAUCUUAAUUCUUUGUAAUUGUUUGUUUGAGUUAUGAUUGGUUAAGGUUGAAUUGGUUGCUUCUUUCUCUUAUUUAUUUAUUUAUUUAUUUAUUGUGUUUGUAAUUAUUUGUUUGAGUUUUGAUUGGUUAGAGUCCAAUUGUUUGCUACUCUCUUUCAUGCUUAUUUAUUUAUAUAUUUAUUGUGUUUUGUUUUGAUUUGUAUUUUAAUCCUACAUUUAUGGUGCAUGUUAUUUGCAUUGUGCUUUGUUUUGUUUAGUAUUAAAUUUGGUGUAUUUGAUUUUUUCUUUUUGUGUCAAUUGUAUUUUCUUUGUGUUCUGUUUGAUUUGUGAUAUCAGUAGAAUUGUUUGUUUAAUGGUUAGCCUUGAUAUUUGUAUUUUUUAUCUUAAAUUUUUGUAAUUGUUUGAGUUUUGAUUGCUUUCGGGUUUAUUUCUUUUUAUUGAAUUUGAAGUGUUUAAUUUCCUUUAUUGAGUUACUUGUUUUGUAAUUUUUUUCU